UGGGGUAAUGGGGAUCAUGGCUUGCUCUGUGCUCCGUGCUCCGUGUUCUCUGAUCCUCGAAUACCUUGGCCGGAGGGGCCACCUUCACAAGUGAACUCUCUCACACAGUUUAGGUAACAAGUUUUAGCUGUUUUCUGCCAUUGAAACCCUUUCAAAGAGUUUCUAACCAAGAAACAGACUGGCUGGCUCAGUUCUCCCUCUGUUCUGACUCUGCCUGAAUCUUUAAAGGUUGUGCAAAUAGGCUGCACCCACAUUAGGGCUGAAAAUGAAUAUUCUAGUCACAAUCAGGCCUCUGCAGCAUCCUGGCAUUGCUUUCCCUCAGAGCCCGAGGCCAUGUUGAACACUUGGCCAACACAAGUGAUUAAGAGGCAGCCUGGAUAAUUAGUCCUUAAUAAUCGAAAUGGGGCCUGACAUUGGCUUUGGCUGACUGUUCAGAAUGGACUCGAGGUCUGCGGGAAAGCAGUGCCAAGCUGCUGCAGAACUUUGGUUAUGAUUAACUUAGUGAUUUUAUUUUCAAAUGAGGACCUUAGGAAUAUGGGAAAAGUUUGGGGCUAUGAAUCAAAAAACUUAAUCCUGCUUCUGCCUUCAACUGUGGAAUGUAGAGAGUCCAUAAGGUUGCUCUGGGCUUCAGUUCCAGUUGCAGUCUUAAUAAAUGCCAUGUACUGAUAGACUUGAUGCUCUAAAGGUAGACCCGCUCGACUGCUUGAGGAUUGCUCAGAUGGCUUUUUUUUCUUUUCUUUCUUCCUUCCUUUUUUUUUGUAAUGCAGCAAGGAAAGGGUUUUUUCAAGAGGUAGCCUGAUGAGGGGACAAGAGAGUAAGUCUCAGCUCUGCCUCCCUGAAGGAGGGUCACGGGUAUCAAGUGGCAUUUUUAGUCCAGGCUAUAGUGUUAGAGUAAUUGGAAGUGUAACCUGGUUUGUCUUCACAUUUGGCAACUUUUUGUAGACUCACGUUGCCUGGAGAAAGAGGUUAUAUGUGACAGCCUAGGCUAGUUCGUUGUUGCCAUUUCAGCCUGAGUUCAUCUUUGCUUUUCUGUGAAAAUUAAAUUAAAAUAGAACCAGGUGGGUACUUUACUAUGUUGGUUUCAGUUUAAUCAUGACAUAAUCAUCUGUAUGUAUUUUUAAAAUUGCUUAUGAUUUAAACCAUCAAACAGAUAUUAAGAGAUGCCUGAAGACAUCUUUUUUCCUCCUUUUUGAAAUUGUUCCUGUUUUAAGGUGGCCAUGUUUCAAAGUCCAUGACAAGGGGGAAAAUGGACCGCGUGAAUAUUGGUAUUGACUGCGGUUUUGCAUUCUACAGAGAGAAAGCAAGGUGUAUAGAAUUGACCUUUUGAGGAGUUAUUUUAAGGCAGCCUUAUGUAUUUAUUUUUUUGCUUUUAUUUAUUUACGUAAUCUCUGCACCCAAGGUGGGGCUCGAACUCACAACCCCUGCUGAGAUCAAGAGUCCCAUGCUUUCCUGACUGAGCCAGCCAGGAGCCCCAAGGCAGCCUUAUUUAAGAAAACAAAACAAACAGGGCGGGUCGCAGCAGCUCCGGGCGACCGGGCAGCCCAGCUUCGCGGAGGCCCUCCGCGUGCCGCGGCCCAUGGGCGCGGCCCGCGCCUGCCCCGCCCGUUCGAUGCCCAAGAGGAAGGUCAGCUCUGCCGAGGGGGCGGCAAAUAAGGAGCCCGAGAGGAGGUCGGCGAGGUUGUCAGCUAAACGUGCUCCUGCAGAAGUGGAAACAAAGCCAAACAAGGCAGCAGGAAAGGAUAAAUCUUCAGACAAAAAAGUGCAAACAAAGGGGAAAAGGGGAGCAAAGGGAAAACAGGCUGAAGUCGCUAACCACGAAAAGAAAGAAGACUUACCUGCAGAAAAUGGAGAAACUAAAAAUGAGGAGAUGAAGCAGGAGAGAAAGAAGCCAAGUCUGAUUAAUACCAUAAACCAUGUCUUAUCAGUGGUCCCUGUCGCCCUUCUUGUACAAUCCAGAGGAAUAUUUUUAUCGACUAUUUUGUAAAUGCAAGUUUUUUAGUAGCUCUAGAAAUGUUUUUAAGAAGGAGGGAAUGCCACCUCAUCCCAUUUUUCAAGUGUAAAUGCUUUUUUUAAGAGGUGAAAUCAUUUGCUGGUUGUUUAUUUUUUGGUACAGCCAGGAAAUAGUGGGAUAUUGAAUGUGGGAGGCUUUGAUUGUCUUGGGUGUCAGCUCAACAUUCCAUAGCUGGGGUAGUUUUUAUAUCCUAUAAUACCAAGCAUACUAAAUGGCAAUUUGGAGUCGGUCGUGCAUUUGCUGUGUCUUGAAUAUUUUAAAUUACUUCUAUUCCCACGUUGUUUUUGGUAGAAUUGUUUCCUAAAGAAAACCACUCCUAGAUCUUGGCUCUCCCGGUCCGAGUUCUUGUGCACUCUGUAACAUCUUGGUCGUCGUAGUCCGGGUUUCCUAGUAACUCUGUUAAUGUGCUGUGCAAGAUUGAGAAUUUGAGUAUGUAGUGUAUAUGAUAUUAAAUUGUGAAUUAAUGGGAUUUAACAAUGUAACAGUGUAUCAGCAUUUGAAGAUCUUGGUACUUGAUAUACUGUUAAGGAAAAUUUGCCUCCAGAUUUUAAGCUGGAAGGUCACUGGAAUAACUUUUCGAAAAGAAUCACAACUACAUGGUUUUUUUUUAGAUUUUCGGUAUGUACGUUAAGAAUUGUGUACAAAUUGAAAUGUCUGUACUGCUCCUCAAAAUAACCAAUAAAAACUCAAUUAAGAAAACAAACAAACAACUAAUCAUGGGGCACCUGGCUGGUUUAGUCGGUGG